UGCCGGAGUAGCUCAGCGGUUGAGCGCCAGUUUCAUAAGCUGGAGGUCGGCGGUCCGAAUCCGCCCUCCGGCAU
rnacentral:tRNA from 1 species